rfam:Myotis brandtii contig307757, whole genome shotgun sequence.
GGCAGUUCUCGGGUGACGCACCCCAGAAUCGGGCUCCCUCCUGUCUGGUUCCAGGUGCAUCGCCUGAGAACUGCA